ensembl:lncRNA novel transcript
GCUCAGCCCCGCCGUGCGCCCAGCCAGCCAUGGGGAAGGUGAGCCCAGCCCGUGCCCCCCGGUAGCUCCCUGCAUGGCGGGGGCCGGAGACUGGGGCAGGGGCAGGCCUGUGAGACCUCGCCUUGCCUCGCCUUGCCUUGCAGAUCACCCUCUACGAGGACCGGGGCUUCCAGGGCCGCCACUACGAAUGCAGCAGCGACCACCCCAACCUGCAGCCCUACUUGAGCCGCUGCAACUCGGUGCGCGUGGACAGCGGCUGCUGGGUGCUCUAUGAGCAGCCCAACUACUCGGGCCUCCAGUAGUUCCUGCGCCGCGGCGACUAUGCCGACCACCAGCAGUGGAUGGGCCUCAGCGACUCGGUCCGCUCCUGCCGCCUCAUCCCCCACGCCAGCUCCCACAGGCUCAGGAUCUAUGAGCGAGAGGACUACAGGGGCCAGAUGGUGGAGAUCACUGAGGACUGCUCCUCUCUUCACGACCGCUUCCACCUCAGUGAGAUCCACUCCUUCAACGUGCUGGAGGGCUCCUGGGUCCUCUACGAGCUGCCCAACUACCAGGGGCGGCAGUACCUGCUGAGGCCGGGGGACUGCAGGUGGUGUCAGGACUGGGGGGCCACGGAUGCGAGAGUGGGCUCCCUAAGGAGAGCUGUGGAGCUCUACUGAAAUGUUUGUACUCUAUCCCUUGCUUCAUCUGGAAACUAAUAAAAUAUUUCCUGUGUGUUCUAUGCAGUAA